UUUUUAAAAAUGGUCGAUUUGACCAUGAAAAACAACAGAGGACAUUUAUCAUGGGAAACAGGAAGAAGAAAAAUCAGUAAUCCACCCCUUCAUGUUAUUCAACAACCUCAUGUAAAUUUGGUCAGAACACUGUCAUUACCAUCCUAUGCUGCCUGACAUAGGAACAAUGGUGUCAAAACUCAAAACUUCAACAAACAGUGAUGCAUUAUUGUUCCAUUUCCUUUAAAAAAGUCUAUUUGUUUAUUUUCAUAAGAAGAAUUUCAGUACAUUGAACAAAUGGAUCAAAAAUCAGACAAAUGGAUCAUAGAAUAUAUUGUGUUAUAUUAUAGAACAAAAGCAACACUAGAGCUGCUUGACAUUGUGCAUAUAGACAUACUGUUUCAGUAAUGAACUCUUUAAAAUACUCACAUAUAUAUUAACGUAAAAAGGUAAUCAAGAGAAAAGAUCUCAUACCUGAAACACACCCAUCUCUGUCAAGAAAUCCGUUGUCGGCCACACGGAAAAAUCAAACAAAAAUUGCUUAGUAUUACUCUAGUAUCAAUUAACCAAAAUCAGAGAAUAACCCUAGAUCAGAAGUAAUUAAGAUAAAAUUGCACUAAAUCAGCAAUAAACCUUUAUGGUACCAAAAACAAUUUACAAAGAAAUUAAACAAGCCUGUAAAUUUGGAUAAGCCCAAAAUAGCUCAAGAACACAGCAACAAAUAAAAUCACAAAUAGUUCAUAAAAACCAUAUUGUUCUAUGGAACUUUGCAAGUGUCGGUCAUCUAAGAACCUGAGAAUGAAGAGAAGAGGUAAAUCAUCAUAAACCACAAUUCAACAAUAAACAAUAAACACCCAAAGUUUAGAGAGAAUCGAAUGAUUUACAGAAUACAUGAGAAUCGAUUGAUUUACCUGAGAAUCGAUUAUUCUACAUCCAGGUUACAUGCAAUACUUGAAAAUCGAUUGGUUUGAGAAUAGAUUCAACAAUAAACACACAAAGUUUAUAGAGAAUUGAUUGAUUUACAGAAUACCUGAGAAUCGAUUGUUCUAUAUCUGGGUUACAUGUAAUACCUGAGAAUCGAUUGAUUUUAGAAUAGAUUGAUAUGUUGCAGAUUAGAGAGAAUGAAAGAUCGAAGAAACAUAUUAGAGCUUUGGGCGGGAGUGGGAAAAAAGAAAGAAGGAAGAAUACUCAGUCUGAAAGAAGAAGAAUUCUG
rnacentral:lncRNA from 1 species